GGAAGGCAGCAGGCGCGCAAAUUACCCACUCCCGGAACGGGGAGGUAGUGACGAAAAAUAACAAUACGGGACUCUUUUGAGACCCCGUAAUUGGAAUGAGUACACUCUAAAUCCUUUAACGAGGAUCCAUUGGAGGGCAAGUCUGGUGCCAGCAGCUGCGGUAAUUCCAGCUCCAAUAGCGUAUAUUAAAGUUGUUGCGGUUAAAAAGCUCGUAGUUGGAUCUCAGCUCGAGACGGAUGGUCCGCCUACCGGUGGUUACUGUCUGUUCUCAGCAUUCAGCCGGUUUCUCUUGAUGAUCUUCACCGGUUGUCUUGGGUGACCGGCAAGUUUACUUUGAAAAAAUUAGAGUGCUCAAAGCAGGCGUGAAAGCCUGAAUAAUGGUGCAUGGAAUAAUGGAAUAGGACCUCGGUUCUAUUUUGUUGGUUUUCGGAACACGAGGUAAUGAUUAAGAGGGACAGACGGGGGCAUUCGUAUUGCGACGCUAGAGGUGAAAUUCUUGGACCGUCGCAAGACGAACUACUGCGAAAGCAUUUGCCAAGAAUGUUUCCAUUAAUCAAGAACGAAAGUUAGAGGUUCGAAGGCGAUCAGAUACCGCCCUAGUUCUAACCAUAAACGAUGCCAGCCAGCGAUCCGGCUGUGUUCCUCAAAUGACACGCCGGGCAGCUUCCGGGAAACCAAAGCUUUUGGGUUCC
rnacentral:rRNA from 1 species